UACGUAGGGGGCAAGCGUUGUCCGGAUUUAUUGGGCGUAAAGAGCGUGUAGGCGGUUUGGUAGGUCCGCUGUGAAAACUCGAGGCUCAACCUCGAGACGCCGGUGGAAACCAUCAGGCUAGAGUCCGGAAGAGGAGGGUGGAAUUCCUGGUGUAGCGGUGAAAUGCGCAGAUAUCAGGAAGAACACCCGUGGCUAAGGCGGCUCUCUAGUACGGUACUGACGCUGAGACGCGAAAGCGUGGGGAGCGAACAGG
rnacentral:rRNA from 1 species